GGGGGUGCAAUGGGUUCGACGGGGAUAUCGGCUCGCCAGAUAGCUAUCCGUAGCGGGAGUCUACGUUAAAAGCCCAACCGUUUAAUAUAAACGACAACGAUUAUUACGAAUUAGCAGCAGCGUAAGCUGCGCUCGGAGUUCCCGCGUUUGCUACCGCGCGGGGUAACUCCGCCGACUAGAUAGCGAACUUUUGCGCGUUUGCCUUGGCGCGUAAAAAGAUUUAAGGCUACUUUCGCGCCGCGGUUGUCAAUCCCCGCGGCGCGCGGGGAAUGUCAAGAAUUGACUGUGAUAGGAGAAGUUUGACGGGGUGGGUCUUCGGACAGGGGUUCGAUUCCCCUCACCUCCA
rnacentral:tmRNA from 1 species